rnacentral:rRNA from 1 species
GGAGUUUGGACCGUGUCUCAGUUCCAAUGUGGGGGACCUUCCUCUCAGAACCCCUACUGAUCGUCGACUAGGUGGGCCGUUACCCCGCCUACUAUCUAAUCAGACGCAUCCCCAUCCUAUACCGGUAAACCUUUGUUCCAAAUUGAAUGCUCGCUUCGGAAAACAUAGGGUAUUAAUCCGACUUUCGCCGGGCUAUCCCCUAGUACAGGGAAGGUUGGAUACGCGUUACUCACCCGUGCGCCGGUCGCCAUCAAUCUUAGCAAGCUAAGAUCAUGCUGCCCCUCGACUUGCAUGUGUUAAGCCUGUAGCUAGCGUUCAUC